GCAGAAUUCACCAAGUGUUG
rnacentral:snRNA from 1 species